rnacentral:rRNA from 1 species
GGCUCAGGAUAAGUCGUAACAAAGAGUUUGAUCCUGGCUCAGGACGAACGCUGGCGGCGUGCCUAAUACAUGCAAGUCGAACGAACUCUGGUAUUGAUUGGUGCUUGCAUCAUGAUUUACAUUUGAGUGAGUGGCGAACUGGUGAGUAACACGUGGGAAACCUGCCCAGAAGCGGGGGAUAACACCUGGAAACAGAUGCUAAUACCGCAUAACAACUUGGACCGCAUGGUCCGAGCUUGAAAGAUGGCUUCGGCUAUCACUUUUGGAUGGUCCCGCGGCGUAUUAGCUAGAUGGUGGGGUAACGGCUCACCAUGGCAAUGAUACGUAGCCGACCUGAGAGGGUAAUCGGCCACAUUGGGACUGAGACACGGCCCAAACUCCUACGGGAGGCAGCAGUAGGGAAUCUUCCACAAUGGACGAAAGUCUGAUGGAGCAACGCCGCGUGAGUGAAGAAGGGUUUCGGCUCGUAAAACUCUGUUGUUAAAGAAGAACAUAUCUGAGAGUAACUGUUCAGGUAUUGACGGUAUUUAACCAGAAAGCCACGGCUAACUACGUGCCAGCAGCCGCGGUAAUACGUAGGUGGCAAGCGUUGUCCGGAUUUAUUGGGCGUAAAGCGAGCGCAGGCGGUUUUUUAAGUCUGAUGUGAAAGCCUUCGGCUCAACCGAAGAAGUGCAUCGGAAACUGGGAAACUUGAGUGCAGAAGAGGACAGUGGAACUCCAUGUGUAGCGGUGAAAUGCGUAGAUAUAUGGAAGAACACCAGUGGCGAAGGCGGCUGUCUGGUCUGUAACUGACGCUGAGGCUCGAAAGUAUGGGUAGCAAACAGGAUUAGAUACCCUGGUAGUCCAUACCGUAAACGAUGAAUGCUAAGUGUUGGAGGGUUUCCGCCCUUCAGUGCUGCAGCUAACGCAUUAAGCAUUCCGCCUGGGGAGUACGGCCGCAAGGCUGAAACUCAAAGGAAUUGACGGGGGCCCGCACAAGCGGUGGAGCAUGUGGUUUAAUUCGAAGCUACGCGAAGAACCUUACCAGGUCUUGACAUACUAUGCAAAUCUAAGAGAUUAGACGUUCCCUUCGGGGACAUGGAUACAGGUGGUGCAUGGUUGUCGUCAGCUCGUGUCGUGAGAUGUUGGGUUAAGUCCCGCAACGAGCGCAACCCUUAUUAUCAGUUGCCAGCAUUAAGUUGGGCACUCUGGUGAGACUGCCGGUGACAAACCGGAGGAAGGUGGGGAUGACGUCAAAUCAUCAUGCCCCUUAUGACCUGGGCUACACACGUGCUACAAUGGAUGGUACAACGAGUUGCGAACUCGCGAGAGUAAGCUAAUCUCUUAAAGCCAUUCUCAGUUCGGAUUGUAGGCUGCAACUCGCCUACAUGAAGUCGGAAUCGCUAGUAAUCGCGGAUCAGCAUGCCGCGGUGAAUACGUUCCCGGGCCUUGUACACACCGCCCGUCACACCAUGAGAGUUUGUAACACCCAAAGUCGGUGGGGUAACCUUUUAGGAACCAGCCGCCUAAGGUGGGACAGAUGAUUAGGGUG